rnacentral:rRNA from 1 species
AGAUUGAACGCUGGCGGCAUGCCUAACACAUGCAAGUCGAACGGGAGUAGCAAUACUCUAGUGGCGGACGGGUGAGGAAUACGUAGGAAUUUGCCCUUAAGUGGGGGAUAACCCGGGGAAACCCGGAUUAAUACCGCAUGACCUCGAAAGAGCAAAGUGGGGGAUCGCAAGACCUCACGCUUUUGGAGAAGCCUACGUCGGAUUAGCUAGUUGGUGAGGUAAUGGCUCACCAAGGCGACGAUCCGUAACUGGUCUGAGAGGAUGAUCAGUCACACCGGACUGAGACACGGUCCGGACUCCGUACGGGAGGCAGCAGUAGGGAAUAUUGGACAAGUGGGCGCGAAGCCUGAUCCAGCAAUGCCGCGUGUGUAGAAGAAGGUCCGUUCGGUUAGUAAGUCGUAACGUUUAAGGUUAGGGAAAGUAAAAACGUCGUAC